rnacentral:misc_RNA from 1 species
GAUGAAGAACGCAGCGAAAUGCGAUAAGUAAUGUGAAUUGCAGAAUUCAGUGAAUCAUCGAAUCUUUGAACGCACAUUGCGCCCGCCAGGAUUCUGGCGGGCAUGCCUGUCUGAGCGUCAUUUCAACCCUCAAGCAACUUCUGCUUGGUGUUGGGGAUCGGCCGUCAAACGCCGCCCCCGAAAUCUAUUGGCGAUCUCGCUGUAGCUUCCUAUGCGUAGUAGUAACAUCUCGCAUCUGGAGAGCGGCGCGGUCAUGCCGUAAAACACCCAACUUCUCAGGUUGACCUCAGAUCAGGUAGGAAUACCCGCUGAACUUAAGCAUAUCAAUAAGCGGAGGA